GAAAACAAAUUGAACAGAAAAGUAGCAAUUUAUCGAAGCUAAGAAAGCUGACGGUUGAUGAGAGCCAGCGUGAGUGCGAUUGUGAAAAUGACCUGUGAUUGGUGUAUGCGAAUCGGUUUACCGUUAAGCAUACAACGACUUGGCCCCCGUUACCGGGCACACCAUUCGGCUAGGAUCAUCUCCCGAUGCCUGAUGGUUAGUGAGCAAAUAUUUGGUAACAAAUAUCUACAACUCAGAAUGGUAACACGCUAUUUUUAGCCGUUUCUGUA
rnacentral:ncRNA from 1 species